rnacentral:rRNA from 1 species
CCUACGGGAGGCUGCAGUGGGGAAUAUUGGACAAUGGGGGGAACCCUGAUCCAGCCAUGCCGCGUGUGUGAAGAAGGCCCUCGGGUUGUAAAGCACUUUCAGUGAGGAAGAACGCCUGGUGGUUAAUACCCAUCAGGAAAGACAUCACUCACAGAAGAAGCACCGGCAAACUCCGUGCCAGCAGCCGCGGUAAUACGGAGGGUGCGAGCGUUAAUCGGAAUUACUGGGCGUAAAGCGCGCGUAGGUGGCUUGAUAAGCCGGUUGUGAAAGCCCCGGGCUCAACCUGGGAACGGCAUCCGGAACUGUCAAGCUAGAGUGCAGGAGAGGAAGGUAGAAUUCCCGGUGUAGCGGUGAAAUGCGUAGAGAUCGGGAGGAAUACCAGUGGCGAAGGCGGCCUUCUGGACUGACACUGACACUGAGGUGCGAAAGCGUGGGUAGCAAACAGGAUUAGAUACCCUUGUAGUC